rnacentral:lncRNA from 1 species
GGGAUGCGGCGACGGCGGAGGAGUCUGGUGCUGUUGUUGUUGUUUCAGCUGGUAGUGAAUCCAUUUGCAAGGGAGAUGGUGGAGAGAGUGAAGAGAGAAAAAGAAAAGCAAAGGGAAAGCAAAGGAAGAAGAAAGGAGGGAGCUUGGGGAAGCGGAAAGGAUACACAGACAGAGAAAUAAGAGAGAGUGUUGGACAGUGGGGGGGAAUUUGAAUUGCAGGGGAAGGUGGCGAGUGGCGUGAACUCGCGCUGUGUUGUCAGGUUUUUUUUUGUUUUUUAUAUUGAUAUAUAUUUUUGCUACAAUGAUCGGAUUAAGAGAAAUAAGAGAGAGUGUUGGGACAGUGGGGGAGAAUUUGAAUUGUAGGGGAAGGUGGCGAGUGGAGUUCACUCGCGCUGUUUUGUCAGGUUUCUUUUUGUUUUUUAAUUGAUUUGUAUUUUUG